rnacentral:lncRNA from 1 species
GAAGUGGCGGAGUUUAACAUGGUAGUGGCACCAACCCAACCCAUAAACUGGGCACAUAAAGGAAGUGGCGGAGUUUAACAUGGUAGUGGCACCAACCCAUAAACUGGGACAGUGGUGCAACAUAACAACACAAGAAUAUACUAUGAAAUCUGUUAACUCAUCAGUUCGAUACAAAGCACAAAAACAACUAAAAACACAAAGAACAGAUCUGAGGGUAUACUUAAAGUUACCGAAAGCUAACCCUAAGCAGAUUACAACCAUUAAAAAAAAU